rnacentral:rRNA from 1 species
GACGAACGCUGGCGGCGUGCUUAACACAUGCAAGUCGAACGGAAAGGCCCUGCUUUGGUGGGGUGCUCGAGUGGCGAACGGGUGAGUAACACGUGAGUAACCUGCCCUUGACUUUGGGAUAACUUCAGGAAACUUGGGCUAAUACCGGAUAGGAGCUCCUGCUGCAGGGUGGGGGUUGGAAAGUUUCGGCGGUUGGGGAUGGACUCGCGGCUUAUCAGCUUGUUGGUUGGGUAGUGGCUUACCAAGGCUUUGACGGGUAGCAGGCCUGAGAGGGUGACCGGACACGUUGGGCCUGAGAUACGGCCCAGACUCCUACGGGAGGCAGCAGUGGGGAAUAUUGCACAAUGGGCGGAAGCCUGAUGCAGCAACGCCGCGUGCGGGAUGACGGCCUUCGGGUUGUGAACCGAUUUCGCCUGUGCCGAAGCGUGAGUGACGGUAAUGGGUAAAGAAGCACCGGCUAACUACGUG